rnacentral:snRNA from 1 species
AGAUCCUCUAGGGCAGUCCUGCUGCGACAUCUGUCAUCCCACUGAUGGUCAGGGCUGAUUGGGCCCAUCUGGCUGGCCAGGCGGUGUCCCCUUCCACCCUCACUGCUCCAUGUGUGUCCCUUCCAAAGUUGCAUGCUUGGUCAGAGAGAACGACCACCCGCGAUAGAGAAGGACCGUUUCCUUUGUCAAGGGUAUAUGAGUAGCUGCACUUCCUUGCUACAAUCUCCAGACAAGUUCUCAAAAGAACCUCUGCCAAGACCCUUGCCAUUGUACAGGUGAGGAAACCAGAGCGCAGAGGACAGAAGACAGCCUAGGUACACUGGUGAGUUACC